GAGAGAAGGAAUCAUGGGACUAAGAGAUGACUCUUGCUGCUAUGUGAAGAAGGGGUUCUGGGAGCAAGAGUGGAAGCCAGUGACAAGAUGUGUCAGGCAGCCAGUGGAAGUGCCCAGAUCACUCUCGCUGCUCUGUAAAGAGGGGGUUAUGGCGGCAAGAGCAGAUGUGAGAAGAUGUGUCAGACGGCCAGUGGAAGUGCCCAGGUGAGAGGUGGAGGUGCCCGGAGCUUCGGUGUGGCAGUGAAGAUGGCUGUGGAAGCUGAAGGACACUCUGCUGGGGAAAAAAAGGACUUGGCAGUUAACAAUCACCCAGGCUUCUCUUCCUUUUUCCCCCUUUAUGCUUAACUAUUGAAGCUACUGCAGAAAGACUUAAAAAUGAAAGAAGGUAGGAACAUAAAAUGGUAAAAUGGUGCAACUUCUUUGUGAAACAGUUCGGCAUUUCCUCAAACACUUAAACACGGAAUUAAUAUGACCCUGCAAUCCCACUCCUAGGUAUAUCCCCAAGAGAACUGGAGACCUACGCCCUCACAAAAACCUACAUACAUGUUCACAGCAGCAUUAUUCAAGCAGCCAAAAAGAGGAAACAACGUGCCCAUCUACUGAUGAAUAAGCUUACAUAAAAUGUGCUAUAUCCAUACCAUCGCACAUAAAAAGGAAGAAGGUUCUGACAUGCUACAAUGUGGAUGAACCUUGAAAACAUUAUGCAAACUAAAGAAUUCAGUUUCA
rnacentral:lncRNA from 1 species